GAAGUUGUCUAUGCUACCCUGAACAAGCCUGAUCCUGUCUGAUCUCGAAGCUAAGCAGGGUCGGGCCUGGUUAGUACUUGGAUGGGAGACCACCUAGGAAGACCAGGAGUGAUAAAGGUA
rnacentral:rRNA from 1 species